AUACGGAGGGUGCAAGCGUUAAUCGGAAUUACUGGGCGUAAAGCGUACGUAGGCGGUUCGUUAAGUUAGAUGUGAAAGCCCCGGGCUUAACCUGGGAACUGCAUUUAAAACUGGCGAACUAGAGUUGAGUAGAGGGGAGUGGAAUUUCAGGUGUAGCGGUGAAAUGCGUAGAGAUCUGAAGGAACACCAGUGGCGAAGGCGACUCCCUGGACUCGAACUGACGCUGAGGUAUGAAAGCGUGGGUAGCAAACGGGAUUAGAAACCCUUGUAGUCC
rnacentral:rRNA from 1 species